UACGAAGGGGGCUAGCGUUGUUCGGAAUUACUGGGCGUAAAGCGCACGUAGGCGGACUAUUAAGUCAGGGGUGAAAUCCCGGGGCUCAACCCCGGAACUGCCUUUGAUACUGGUAGUCUCGAGUCCGGAAGAGGUGAGUGGAAUUCCGAGUGUAGAGGUGAAAUGCGCAGAUAUCAGGAGGAACACCGAUGGCGAAGGCAGCUCGCUGGGACGGUACUGACGCUGAGGCGCGAAAGCGUGGGGAGCAAACAGG
rnacentral:rRNA from 1 species